rnacentral:rRNA from 1 species
AUUGAACGCUGGCGGCAGGCCUAACACAUGCAAGUCGAACGGUAACAGGAAACAGCUUGCUGUUUCGCUGACGAGUGGCGGACGGGUGAGUAAUGUCUGGGAAACUGCCUGAUGGAGGGGGAUAACUACUGGAAACGGUAGCUAAUACCGCAUAACGUCGCAAGACCAAAGAGGGGGACCUUCGGGCCUCUUGCCAUCGGAUGUGCCCAGAUGGGAUGAGCUAGUAGGUGGGGUAACGGCUCACCUAGGCGACGAUCCCUAGCUGGUCUGAGAGGAUGACCAGCCACACUGGAACUGAGACACGGUCCAGGCUCCUACGGGAGGCAGCAGUGGGGAAUAUUGCACAAUGGGCGCAAGCCUGAUGCAGCCAUGCCGCGUGUAUGAAGAAGGCCUUCGGGUUGUAAAGUACUUUCAGCGGGGAGGAAGGGAGUAAAGUCAAUACCUUUGCUCAUUGACGUUACCCGCAGAAGAAGCACCGGCUAACUCCGUGCCAGCCGCCGCCGUAA